UGCCAGCCGCCGCGGUAAUACGGAGGGUGCAAGCGUUAAUCGGAUUUAUUGGGCGUAAAGAGGGCGUAGGCGGCUUUGUAAGUCAGAUGUGAAAUCCCGGGGCUCAACUCCGGAACUGCAUCUGAAACUACAAAACUAGAGGGUAGGCGGAGAAAACGGAAUUCCAUGUGUAGCGGUGAAAUGCGUAGAUAUAUGGAAGAACACCCGUGGCGAAAGCGGUUUUCUAGCUUAUUCCUGACGCUCAGGCCCGAAAGCGAGGGGAGCAAACAGGAUUAGAUA
rnacentral:rRNA from 1 species